rnacentral:lncRNA from 1 species
CCGUCCGUUUCUUCUCGCAGCAGUCGUCCGUUUCUUCUCUACCGAGUUCCAGCUCCUUCUCGUGAAGCCAGCGAAUCCCAUAUGCAGCGUCCCAACCGAUUCAAGGAGCCGCUUCAGCCGCCCGUGAUUCUCCGCCAAAUCCCAGCAUCCCAGCCUCUUCUCCCGUCCGUAUUCAUCAUCCACGGAUCCGCUCCUCCCAGCACCGAUUUU